CGGAAAGGUCUUCCAUAUAGUAUGUAACCCGGUAGAUACUCUUCUUCGUGGUUCUAAAAUUGAUAAUUACAUUAGGCGGGACGAAUGAGCGUCUUACUAUUGUUCUUCAAGGAAGGAAAUCAGAACGAAAUUAAGUAAACAGAGAUGGUAGCUAGCGAGGCUGAAGUAAAGUAAGUCGAAUAACGUUAGUAGUCAAGAAGCUGAGUGAAGUUGGCCAAAAGUGCAUUGAGAUACAAAUACACUAAACAUUUCCACUCUUUUACUGACCGCGAUGGAGCAUUGUGCUUAUGGUGUCGAUACGACGCCUGAAGUCAUUCACCUGCUGGAUGUUGACCGUGUCCAGUGAUCACUUUGUGGCCACUGACUACAAAAGGGACCGGUUGAAACCGGGUUCUGCUCCCACCGUCUUUCCGCCAUAGACGGGAAAGCUCCAACCAUUCAAGAGUGAUGGGCAUGAAGACCGUGAGGAGGACCAUGUGAUGGACCACCAGCAGGGGAUGCCGGAGGAGGAACAGCUUGAUGGUACUUGUUCCACAUUCUCUCCCCUUUCUCUCGGUCACUGUGGGAGGGACGACCGGACAGGAGAGGGUGUGUCAGUAUUCAGUUAAAGCCUCAUGCUCAUUGGUCCCACGCCUCUUGUAAACCCUCGAGGCGUCACGCCUCCACACCCACUGACUGCAUACUAUGGGACGUGCUGCAGCCCUAGCUGUACCCUACCCUCCCAGUUAACAUUCUCUUGACCAUAGUCCCAUGGUAGUUAAUGGAGAGAGAGAGAGCAGGAGAGGAGAGCAAC